rnacentral:rRNA from 1 species
CCUACGGGUGGCAGCAGUGAGGAAUAUUGGUCAAUGGACGCAAGUCUGAACCAGCCAUGCCGCGUGCAGGAAGACGGCUCUAUGAGUUGUAAACUUCUUUUGUACGGGGGUAAACGCAGCUACGUGUAUGUGUCUGAAAGUAUCGUAUGAAUAAGGAUCGGCUAACUCCGUGCCAGCAGCCGCGGUAAUACGGAGGAUUCAAGCGUUAUCCGGAUUUAUUGGGUUUAAAGGGUGCGUAGGCGGUCUGAUAAGUUAGUGGUGAAAUCCUGAGGCUCAACUUCGGAAUUGCCUCUGAUACUGGUAGGCUAGAGAGUAGUUGCGGUAGGCGGAAUGUAUGGUGUAGCGGUGAAAUGCUUAGAGAUCAUACAGAACACCGAUUGCGAAGGCAGCUGACCAAGCUACUUCUGACAUUGAGGCACGAAAGCGUGGGGAGCAAACAGGAUUAGAUACCCGUGUAGUC